AUUGUGUGUAGAUUGAGGAUUAGUAUGAUGUGAAUCCAUUUUAGAAUAAGGCUGUUACGUCACAAAAUGUGUACAAAGUCAAGGGGUCUGAAUACUUUCCGAAUGUACUGGACAGUAUGUGAAUAUAUAUGGUGAUGUUUUCAAUUUUAUAAGAGGGUAUUUAUUAGACUCAAUAGUAGCAUGUUUUGAACCAAGACAGAGCACAGUGAGUGAGCAGUGACAACCGAGUGAGGGAUCAUUAGCUUUGAUACCUUGUGAUAGCUAAUGGUGUUAGCUUCGAUACAGUGUAUUAACUUGGUGAAGUGUGUGUGUGUGUUUGUGUGUGUGUUUGUGUUCGAAUAAUGGGGUUAUGAUGUGUUAGCUUUGAUGCUUUAGUAAGUGUGAAGCAGUGCCUGGAGGUUAAUGCCAACUGGUUGGUGUGUGUAGUGACAGUGUGUUUUACACUCCAGGCAUGUGUGUGUGUGUGUGUGUGUGUGUGUGUGUGUGUGUGUGUGUGUGUGUGUGUGUGUGUGUGUGUGUGUGUGUGUGUGUGUGUGUGUGUGUGUGUGUGUGUGUGUGUGUGUGUGUGUGUGUGUGUGUGUGUGUGUGUGUGUGUGUGUGUGUGUGUGUGUGUGUGUGUGUGUGUGUUGUGCCAGCUUGUUUGUUUGUCGUGAGAGUGAGACACCAUGAUGCUGAUAAUGACUCCAGGGUUGAACCUUCCUCUCUGUGUAUCUGCAGUCUAUCCACUAGGUUUGAUAAUGACUCCAGGGUUGAACCUUCCUCUCUGUGUAUCUGCAGUCUAUCCACUAGGUUUGAUAAUGACUCCAGGGUUGAACCUUCCUCUCUGUGUGUAUCUGCAGUCUAUCCACUAGGUUUGAUAAUGACUCCAGGGUUGAACCUUCCUCUCUGUGUAUCUGCAGUCUAUCCACUAGGUUUGAUAAUGACUCCAGGGUUGAACCUUCCUCUCUGUGUAUCUGCAGUCUAUCCACUAGGUUUGAUAAUGUGCUGCAUGUUGCUGUUGUGACUGUUUUUUGUUUAAUAAACAACAA